rnacentral:rRNA from 1 species
UACGUAGGGCGCAAGCGUUUGUCCGGAAUUAUUGGGCGUAAAGAGCUCGUAGGCGGUUUGUCGCGUCUGCUGUGAAAACUCGAGGCUCAACCUCGGGCUUGCAGUGGGUACGGGCAGACUAGAGUGCGGUAGGGGUGACUGGAAUUCCUGGUGUAGCGGUGGAAUGCGCAGAUAUCAGGAGGAACACCGAUGGCGAAGGCAGGUCACUGGGCCGCAACUGACGCU